AGCGGCAGACGGGUGAGUAACACGUAGAUAACCUGCCCUCAAGACGGGGACAACCGGUGGAAACAGCGGCUAAUACCCGAUAUGCUCACAGGAUCGGGAGAUCGAGUGAGGAAAGGCUUCGGUGCUUGAGGAGGGAUCUGCGGCCCAUCAGCUAGUUGGUGAGGUAACGGCUCACCAAGGCGAAGACGGGUAGGGGGUGUGAGAGCAUGGCCCCCCACAAUGGGACUGAGACACGGCCCAUACUCCUACGGGAGGCAGCAGCGGGGAAUAUUGCGCAAUGGACGGAAGUCAGACGCAGCGACGCCGCGUGGGUGAGGAAGGCCUUCGGGUUGUAAAGCCCUUUUCAGGGGAGCGAGAAAGGACGGUACCCUUGGAAUAAGCGUCGGCUAACUACGUGCCAGCAGCCGCGGUAAGACGUAGGACGCAAGCGUUAUCCGGAUUUACUGGGCGUAAAGCGCCUGUAGGCGGUCAAGUAAGUCGGAUGUGAAAGCCCCGUGCUCAACGCGGGGAAGCCAUUCGAUACUGCGUGACUAGAGAACGGCAGAGGGAAACGGAAUUUCUGGUGUAGCGGUAAAAUGCGCAGAGAUCAGAAAGAACACCGAUGGCGAAGGCAGUUUCCUAGGCCGCAUCUGACGCUGAGAGGCGAAAGCUAGGGGAGCAAACAGGAUUAGAGACCCUGGUAGUCCUAGCUGUAAACGAUGGAUGCUAGGUGUGGGCCGGAAAGGUCCGUGCCGUAGUUAACGCGAUAAGCAUCCCGCCUGGGGAGUACGGCCGCAAGGCUAAAACUCAAACGAAUUGACGGGGACCCGCACAAGCAGCGGAGCGUGUGGUUUAAUUCGAUGCUACACGCAGAACCUUACCUGGGCUUGACAUGUAGGUGGUAGUGAAGUGAAAGCGGAGCGACCCUUCGGGGAGCCUACACAGGUGCUGCAUGGCUGUCGUCAGCUCGUGCCGUGAGGUGUCGGGUUAAGUCCCGUAACGAGCGCAACCCUUGUCCUUAGUUACAAGUGUCUAAGGAGACUGCCGGUGACAAACCGGAGGAAGGUGGGGAUGACGUCAAGUCAGCAUGGCCCUUAUGUCCAGGGCGACACACACGCUACAAUGGUCGGUACAAUGGGCAGCGCAGCCGCGAGGUGAAGCGAAUCCCAACAAAGCCGAUCCC
rnacentral:rRNA from 1 species